rnacentral:rRNA from 1 species
GACGAACGCUGGCGGCGUGCUUAACACAUGCAAGUCGAGCGGUAAGGCCCCUUCGGGGGUACACGAGCGGCGAACGGGUGAGUAACACGUGAGCAACCUACCCUCAACUUCGGGAUAAGCCUCGGAAACGGGGUCUAAUACCGGAUAUCACUCUCCUCCUCAUGGUGGGGGGUUGAAAGUUCUGGCGGUUGGGGAUGGGCUCGCGGCCUAUCAGCUUGUUGGGUGGGGUAAUGGCCUACCAAGGCGUCGACGGGUAGCCGGCCUGAGAGGGCGACCGGCCACACUGGGACUGAGACACGGCCCAGACUCCUACGGGAGGCAGCAGUGGGGAAUAUUGCGCAAUGGACGAAAGUCUGACGCAGCAACGCCGCGUGAGGGAUGACGGCCUUCGGUU